GAUUAUGGCUCAGGAUGAACGCUGGCGGCGUGCUUAACACAUGCAAGUCGAGCGAAGCAUUAAAACAGAUUCUUCGGAUUGAAGUUUGAUGACUGAGCGGCGGACGGGUGAGUAACGCGUGGGUGACCUGCCUCAUACAGGGGGAUAACAGACAGAAAUGUCUGCUAAUACCGCAUAAGCGCACAGUGCUGCAUGGCACCGUGUGAAAAACUCCGGUGGUAUGAGAUGGACCCGCGUCUGAUUAGCUAGUUGGUAAGGUAACGGCUUACCAAGGCGACGAUCAGUAGCCGGCCUGAGAGGGUGAACGGCCACAUUGGGACUGAGACACGGCCCAAACUCCUACGGGAGGCAGCAGUGGGGAAUAUUGCACAAUGGGGGAAACCCUGAUGCAGCGACGCCGCGUGAAGGAAGAAGUAUUUCGGUAUGUAAACUUCUAUCAGCAGGGAAGAAAAUGACGGUACCUGACUAAGAAGCCCCGGCUAACUACGUGCCAGCAGCCGC
rnacentral:rRNA from 1 species